GAUGAACGCUAGCGGCAGGCCUAACACAUGCAAGUCGAGGGGCAUCAUGGCGUAGCAAUACGCUGAUGGCGACCGGCGCACGGGUGCGUAACGCGUAUGGAACCUACCCACCGCAGGGGGAUAACCCGCCGAAAGGCGGACUAAUACCCCAUGGUUCCCCGACCCUGCCUGGGGUUGGGGGUAAAGCCUACGGGCGGCGGUGGAUGGCCCUGCGUGCCAUUAGCUGGCUGGUGGGGUAACGGCCCACCAGGGCGACGAUGGCUAGGGGGUCUGAGAGGACGAUCCCCCACACUGGUACUGAGACACGGACCAGACUCCUACGGGAGGCAGCAGUGAGGAAUAUUGGUCAAUGGGCGGAAGCCUAGAACCAGCCAUGCCGCGUGCAGGAUGACGGCCCUACGGGUUGUAAACUGCUUUUCCCGGGCGAACUAACCCCUCGCGAGGGGAGUGCCGGUACCGGGGAAGUAAGGAUCGGCUAACGUCCGUGCCGAGCAGCCGACGGUAAACGUCACGUCG
rnacentral:rRNA from 1 species